AGACUUCGCUACUGCUUCUCUGCCGCCCCUCACCAGCCUUUGCAGUGCCCUGUGCCCUUGGAGGAGAGUCAGAAAAGAAGCGCCUGGGCCAGCUCCGCUCCUUUGGCACAAGAGGACUUUGUCCUGAGGUGUGAAGAGCCUGCCUGGAAUAAAAGACCACUGCCGUCCAGAAACGAUGAUUGUCGCUGGACCCAGCUGGGACUCUGCCAGGCUCCAGUGCUCAGUCUAAGGA